GCUAGCAAGCUAGCUCAAACACCAUAGCUAAAAUUACAAUUUACACUACUAUUCAUAAACCAAAACACCCACAACCAAACCAUUUGACCCCCCCAGUACGGGCGACAAAAAAGGAUUCCAAUGAAGCUAUAGAUAAAGUACCGCAAGGGAAAGCUGAAAAAGAAAUGAAAAAACCCAUCAAAGCAUAAAAAAGCAGAGAACCCCUCGUACCUUUUGCAUCAUGAUUCAGCCAGUAAUAUACAUGCAAAGCGACCUCUAGUUUGUAACCCCGAAACCCGACGAGCUACUCCGGGACAGCCAAUCCAGGGCUAACCCAUCUCUGUGGCAAAAGAGUGGGAAGAUCUCCGAGUAGAAGCAAAAGACCUACCGAGCCGGGUUAUAGCUGGUUGCCCGAAAAAUGAAUAAAAGUUCAGCCCCGUUCAACUCAACUCACAACGGUAAUACCACAAAAGACGAAGAGUCACCAAACGGGAGUUAGUCGAAGGAGGUACAGCUCCCCCGACAAAGGACACAACCUUUCAAGAAGAUUAAGGAAUAAACCAAUCAAGGCACCAGGUCCCGGUGGGCCUAAAAGCAGCCACCCAAACAGAAAGCGUUAAAGCUCAGACCAAAGAACGCCUAUUAUUUGAUUAGAAACUCCAAAAUCUCUCCAACCAUUGGGCCUCUCUAUGCUCCCAUAGAAGAGAUUAUGCUGAAACGAGUAACAAGAAGAUUGAACUUCUCCCCGCACAAGUGUAAGUCGAACCGGACUCACCAUCGACAAUUAACGAACCCAAAAACAGAGGGCCCCACACCACUACUAUUUCUAGUCAAGAAAACCAUGUCCCCCUCAUCGUUAACCCCACACAGGAGUGCCCAACCAGGGAAAGACCAAAAGAAAAAAAAGGAACUCGGCAAACCUAAACCCCGCCUGUUUACCAAAAACAUCGCCUCUUGACAAUGAAAAUAUAAGAGGUCCCACCUGCCCUGUGACCAAAAGUUUAACGGCCGCGGUAUCCUAACCGUGCGAAGGUAGCGCAAUCAAUUGCCUUUUAAAUGAAGGCCUGUAUGAAUGGUAUAACGAGGGUUUGACUGUCUCUUUUUUCCAGUCAGUGAAACUGAUCUGUCCGUGCAGAAGCGGACAUAACCCUACAAGACGAGAAGACCCUAUGGAGCUUUAGACACCAACCAACCAUGAGAAGCAAUUCAAGCCAACAUGCCCCAAACCCCCAUGGAACUGGAAUAAUAGUCUUAGGUUGGGGCGACCACGGGAGAAAGAAAAGCUCCCGAGCAGAUCAGGGCUACCCUGAAACUAAGAGUUACAACUCUAAGUCACAAAAAUUUUGACUGAAAUGAUCCGGUCACAACCGAUCAACGGAACAAGUUACCCUAGGGAUAACAGCGCAAUCCCCUCCCAGAGUCCAUAUCGACAAGGGGGUUUACGACCUCGAUGUUGGAUCAGGACAUCCUAAUGGUGCAGCCGCUAUUAAGGGUUCGUUUGUUCAACGAUUAAAGUCCUACGUGAUCUGAGUUCAGACCGGAGUAAUCCAGGUCGGUUUCUAUCUGUAAGACAACCACUCCUAGUACGAAAGGACCGGAGUGGAAAGGCCCAUGCCAAGAGCAAGCCUUCCAUUUACCUGCUGAAAACAACUAAAGCAGACAAGAGUGGGUUCUACCCAGGCCUGAGAGAAAGGCCACUCAUCAAUUCGC
rnacentral:rRNA from 1 species